CCUACGGGUGGCUGCAGUGAGGAAUAUUGGUCAAUGGACGAGAGUCUGAACCAGCCAAGUAGCGUGAAGGAUGACUGCCCUAUGGGUUGUAAACUUCUUUUAUAUGGGAAUAAAACGUUCCACGUGUGGGAUUUUGUAUGUACCAUAUGAAUAAGGAUCGGCUAACUCAGUGCCAGCAGCCGCGGUAAUACGGAGGAUCCGAGCGUUAUCCGGAUUUAUUGGGUUUAAAGGGAGCGUAGGUGGAUUGUUAAGUCAGUUGUGAAAGUUUGCGGCUCAACCGUAAAAUUGCAGUUGAUACUGGCAGUCUUGAGUACAGUAGAGGUGGGCGGAAUUCGUGGUGUAGCGGUGAAAUGCUUAGAUAUCACGAAGAACUCCGAUUGCGAAGGCAGUUCACUGGACUGCAACUGACACUGAGGCUCGAAAGUGUGGGUAUCAAACAGGAUUAGAUACCCCAGUAGUC
rnacentral:rRNA from 1 species